rnacentral:rRNA from 1 species
CCUACGGGUGGCAGCAGUGAGGAAUAUUGGUCAAUGGCCGGAAGCCUGACCAGCCAAGCCGCGUGAAGGACGAAGGUGCCAAGCAUUGUAAACUUCUUUUGUCAAGGGACAAAAUCAGGCUCCAGAGCCUGACCUAGGGUACCUGUAGAAAAAGCAUCGGCUCACUCCGUGCCAGCAGCCGCGGUAAUACGGAGGAUGCGAGCGUUAUCCGGAUUUAUUGGGUUUAAAGGGUGCGUAGGCGGACUGUUAAGUCAGCGGUAAAAGCCCGGGGCUCAACCCCGACGAGCAGUUGAAACUGGCUGUCUUGAGAGGGCGAGAGGUAGGCGGAAUGCGUGGUGUAGCGGUGAAAUGCUUAGAUAUUGCGCAGAACUCCGAUUGCGAAGGCAGCAUACCGGCGGCGAUCUGACGCUGAGGCACGAAAGCGUGGGUAUCGAACAGGAUUAGAUACCCCUGUAGUC